GACGAACGCUGGCGGCGUGCCUAAUACAUGCAAGUAGAACGCUGAAGGAGGAGCUUGCUUCUCUGGAUGAGUUGCGAACGGGUGAGUAACGCGUAGGUAACCUGCCUGGUAGCGGGGGAUAACUAUUGGAAACGAUAGCUAAUACCGCAUAAUAGCAGUUGUUGCAUGACAACUGUUUGAAAGGUGCAAUUGCACCACUACCAGAUGGACCUGCGUUGUAUUAGCUAGUUGGUGGGGUAAUGGCUCACCAAGGCGACGAUACAUAGCCGACCUGAGAGGGGGAUCGGCCACACUGGGACUGAGACACGGCCCAGACUCCUACGGGAGGCAGCAGUAGGGAAUCUUCGGCAAUGGACGGAAGUCUGACCGAGCAACGCCGCGUGAGUGAAGAAGGUUUUCGGAUCGUAAAGCUCUGUUGUAAGAGAAGAACGAGUGUGAGAGUGGAAAGUUCACACUGUGACGGUAUCUUACCAGAAAGGGACGGCUAACUACGUG
rnacentral:rRNA from 1 species